UACGUAGGGCGCAAGCGUUGUCCGGAAUUAUUGGGCGUAAAGAGCUCGUAGGCGGCUUGUCACGUCGGCCGUGAAAACCUGCAGCUUAACUGUGGGCUUGCGGUCGAUACGGGCAUCACUGGAGUUCGGCAGGGGAGACUGGAAUUCCUGGUGUAGCGGUGAAAUGCGCAGAUAUCAGGAGGAACACCGGUGGCGAAGGCGGGUCUCUGGGCCGAUACUGACGCUGAGGAGCGAAAGCGUGGGGAGCGAACAGG
rnacentral:rRNA from 1 species